rnacentral:rRNA from 1 species
UAGUAAGACACGGAAACAAGCGCCCCGCGCGCCAUCGGACCGACCGGCCGAACUCGAGAGGCACUGCCGCCGCGACUGCCGCAGUGCCGCCGCCGUGCCGCCCCCCGAUGCGCGCGCGAGAUCAUGCCUCCUCUCCUUUCGAAACAACACCAAAACUAUCCGCCGCCCUCGGCUCGGACGAGACGACCCGCUGAACUUAAGCAUAUCGCUAAGCGGAGGAAAAGAAACCAACCGGGAUUCCCUUAGUAACGGCGAGUGAACCGGGAGAAGCCCAACGCCGAAUCCCGUCGCAAGUAAAAGGCUUCGGGACGUGUGGCGCAUGGGUCGAAGACAGCCGUUCGUUUACGUCUCGCGUAGUUCGGAGUUCCCUCGAUCGGGGCCGCCCGCGGCGGGUGCCAGGCCCAUUCGGUGCGGACGGCGAGCGACGGUCUUCGAUCCGAGAGUCGGGUUGCUUGGGAACGCAGCCCAAAUCGGGUGGUAAGCUCCAUCCAAGGCUAAAUACCGGGACGAGUCCGAUAGUCGACAAGUACCGUGAGGGAAAGUUGAAAAGAACUUUGGAGAGAGAGUUCAAGAGAACGUGAAACCGCCCAGGGGUAAACGGGUGGGACCGCUCACCGCGAUCGCGGGGGGACUCAGUCCGGUGCUGCCUAGGCUCGAGCCCAAACUCGAUGUGUACCUCAACAGGCUGUCGCGGACGUCGUCGUCGUGUCCGCGGGGACUCGUUCUCCGCGGGCCAGCUUUUGUGCCCGCGUCGCCGACGAAGGAGACGGGCCGCGUAGACAGCGGGAAGGGAAACGUGGUGACGACCGCGGCGACGGCGGCUGCGACGGGAGGACCGUGGGGUUCGCUCCGCGCCCUUUCGCUCGCUGCCGCCGGCCUGCCGCAUCCGUCGCCGCCGCUUCUUCUUUCCUCUCGCUCCCUCUGCGCGCGGCCCCGCUGCACCCGUCGCCUUCUCACCGCUCGGCAUCAAUGUCGCGGGCGCUUCGGCGCGACUUCCGCACGGCCGGCACCGGACGCACUUCCCCUCCGGUCCGUCGUCGCGACCCGUUCCCGGCGUGCAGGUCGACGCGCGGGUUUUUCCGUAGGCGGCAGGCGCUUUUGAAAACCCUCGCGACUCCGGUCGCGGGGGCCACCGGCCGUCGGGCCCGCGAACCGUAACUGCCCCCUUCUGCCGGGGACGGAGGAAUGAUUACGCGAUCCGUUAUACGUGGCGAGCCGGUUCGUCUUUAAUCCCGUCGGACGUCUCGCGCGGGCGACCUCGCGUCGCUCCCUCGGCGCCCCACCGUCUCGGGCGUGCGCGAGAGAAGAGUCGGGAGAGAACUGGCGCGGCCUCGCCGUCACGCACCUCGCCGAUGUUCGGGAAAUCAGCGGUGUCGGGGGUGACCCCGCCCGCGCCCGUUCCGUCCGGUGAGGUCGCUCGGCGACGCCCCUUUCGGCCGCCCGCCACCUCGGGUCAGCGACGUGCAUCGGCAACCCACCCGACCCGUCUUGAAACACGGACCGAGGAGUCCUGGCCGUUCGCGAGUCGUAGGGGCCCCCUCUGACUAACCCCGAAGGCGUAGCGAAAGCGAGAGAGCGUGUCGGAGGGCGUCGACCGGGAGAGGUGUCGUGGCGAAGUCGUCGGGGGUGGCGGGAGUGUGCGGUUUCGGCCGUGUCUCUCUCGUCUUCCCCCGCCUCCGAGCCGUGCCCGAUCCCGCCGGCGCGGUGUCUCGUCUUCCGUCGCCGUCGCCGCAGGCCCGCACUUUUCUUCUCACGAGGAGAGGGAAGGCCCGCGGCUGGCGCACGGUCGUUUCCCUCCUGCCCGAGAGGGCACCGGUCUAGGGAAUUGCGGGGCAUCAGCUUCCAUCCUCCUUCCGCCCAUCGGUGAGAUCCCGCGGCUUGAACUAGUCCUAUUUUGUCGUCGAGUUUAGGCACUGCGCGCGGGCGCAUCACCCCCGGGUCGGUUCCUUCUCCGAGUACGACUCGGCCGACUCUGGCGUAGCGAGCGACCAGGGACCCGAAAGAUGGCGAUCCACGCCCGGUCGGGAUGAAGCCAGAGGAAACUCUGGUGGAAGUCCGAAGCGCCUCUGACGUGCAAAUCGAUCGUCGGAACCGGGUGUAGGGGCGAAAGACCAAUCGAGCCGUCUAGUAGCUGGUUCCCUCCGAAGUUUCCCUCAGGAUAGCUGGCGCUCGAUCGUCGCAAUUCCAUCCGGUAAAGCGAACGAUUGGAGGCCCCGGGGCCGUUCACGGCCUCGACCUACUCUCGAACUCGGAACGGGUGGAACGGGUCGACUCUCCCGAACAACGGAGCCGUCCCCUAUUUUCGCGUCGCCGCUCGCCGGCGGCGUCGAAAUCGAAUGCGAGUGCCAAGUGGGCCACUUUUGGUAAGCAGAACUGGCGCUGUGGGAUGAACCAAACGUCCGGCUAAGGUGCCUAACGCGACGCCCAUGAGAUCCCCGAAAGGGUGUCGGUCGAUAUAGACAGCAGGACGGUGGCCACGGAAGUCGGAAUCCGCUAAGGA